AAUCAAAUCAAGUCAGUUUUAAUCAAAUAAUAUGCACCGUCAAAAAUCGAAAAAAGUUUUACUGAAAUUUUAGUGAUGGUUUAAACUUUUUAUUAAAAACAUUGAUGGAAUCAGGCCGUAAACCCUUUCAUAAGUAUGUUGUUCCGAUGCCGGCAUGCAUGGAGUUGUUUUCCAAAAGACAUACAUUCUCGAAGAACGGCCCUUCAUUAUUUCAAAAGUGAUAUCUAUAAGUGCGAAACCUUAAAAAUGAUCAACCUACUGGUAAUUUGGUGUCCAGUGAUGGCAAUCCAGGUACAAACCCUGUAUUUACAGACAAACAUUUGUUGUAGAACUUUUUGGUGGACCACUCUCUCGUUGGUAUUAGACAUGUACUGUUACCUGAGAAAAGCAGUAACUGAAAAGGAGAAAGGAUCAGAUAACCCAAAUCAUGAAUCUUCAGAGUGCAGAUGAUGCAGUUUUUGUGAGUGAGGUAAGAUCUGCC